GAAGAACCUUACCAAGGCUUGACAUCGUCUGAUGAUCCUAGAGAUAGGAAGUUCUCCUUCGGGAGACAGAUAGACAGGUGGUGCAUGGCUGUCGUCAGCUCGUGUCGUGAGAUGUUGGGUUAAGUCCCGCAACGAGCGCAACCCUUAUCCUAUGUUGCCAGCACGUAAUGGUGGGAACUCAUGGGAGACUGCCGUGGAUAACACGGAGGAAGGUGGGGAUGACGUCAAGUCAUCAUGCCCCUUAUGUCUUGGGCUACACACGUACUACAAUGGGCCUUAAUAGAGGGUAGCGACACAGUGAUGUGAUGCUAAUCCCAAAAAGCCAUCUCAGUUCAGAUUGAACUCUGCAACUCGAGUUCAUGAAGUUGGAAUCGCUAGUAAUCGUAGAACAGCAUGCUACGGUGAAUACGUUCCCGGGCCUUGUACACACCGCCCGUCACACCAUGGGAGUUGGUCAGACUUUAAGACGGUGUUCUAACUCGCAAGAGAGGAAGCCGGCC
rnacentral:rRNA from 1 species